UACGUAGGUGGCAAGCGUUGUCCGGAAUUACUGGGCGUAAAGAGCGCGUAGGCGGCUAUUUAAGUCAGGUGUGAAAACUCGGGGCUCAACCCCAAGAUUGCACUUGAAACUGGAUAGCUUGAGGGCAAGAGAGGAAAGUGGAAUUCCCAGUGUAGCAGUGAAAUGCGUAGAUAUUGGGAGGAACACCAGUGGCGAAGGCGACUUUCUGGCUUGUACCUGACGCUGAGGCGCGAAAGCGUGGGUAGCGAACAGG
rnacentral:rRNA from 1 species